CAUUUGAAAGAAAACUUCAGACUGUUUAUAUCGUUGAUUAAAAGGCAAGAUAUUUUUUUGUGUCAAAUAAUUUUUGGAUUUUCUCGAAGAAAUUUAUUUUUUUGAAUUGACAAUUUCGCUGUGGCUCGGACUGCGUAUAAUAAAUUGGAAGCUAUUAUAUAUUUCUGGGAGGAAUUGGGAGCGUUUAUCUCUAAUUCCACCCAAGGAUUUUUUAUUUAAAAUUUUUUUCGCGAGAGAGAUAAAAGAAAAUAGCAUCUCCAUAGCACCACCUGUCUGACCUUUGGCGGGUUUAGACGCACCAUUGCGAAUGAUUGUCGCCGUAAAUUUUAUUGUUGACCAACACGUAUACGCCACAAAAGGAAAAUCGACCAUUCCAAGCUCUUGUCAAGAUUAUGAAAAAAAUAGAGCAAUAUAAAGAAUAUUUUGACAUACAUAUAUAAAUUCUUGACGUUUCUUAAGAGGAUCCAAAACAAAAAAGACAAUAUUAUCAUUUAGAGCGUAUCGUCAGAAGGGCAUCAUGGUUACCUUCUCCAUCAAUUGCUAGGAUAUUAAGAAUAACCGCAAUAUAUACACUAGUCUACAAUUUGAUUCGCCAAAUACUUAUUUUGUCAAGAGUGAAUAUUUUACUUUUUGUUAAGCACCAGAAUCCAGCAAAGACAACAGGCCUGCGGUCUACGAUGGACAUAAUGUUCGGGUAUCGAAAAACGUUGACCUCUCCUUUUUUUACGCACCCGGCGGAUGGCUCAUCAAAUUGAUGUUUUGAUGUUAAGGGAAUAUAUAAUGGAAGCAUUCCUUGACAAUGAGGAUGAUUUCAAUUAUGUAAAACCGAUGUGCUGAAACGAGCUGAAGUUUCUGGGUGUCAACACUAACAUUAAAAAGUUUAUUAAUAACUUAUUUACUAAAAGAUGAAUUACGGCAUGCUUUGGAUAUGUGGAUUUAAAAGAUGGGUCAGAAGAGGAACUCCCCAAGUACUGUCUCCUCUACUUUAAAUUGCAAAAAGAGAUUAAGGCAGAUUGAGGUCAGUGAGCUGACAUAGAAAUACCUAACAAUGGCAACAUCAUGGGGUCGUUAUUCAUACAAAUGUUUACCAUGCGGACUGGCGUCAGCUCCAGAGGUCUGUCAGAAAUUAAUUACGCAGUUACUGGAAAAUGUACCCAGAACGGAGGUAUCGAUGGACGAUAUCCUUAUCCAAAGAACAAUUUGAGAGACAAACUGAACAAGUUAUGAAGAUAUUAUAAAGUACAGAAGGAAUAGCUGUUGAUCCUGAUAAAAUAUCGGAUCCUGAUAAAAUUAUCUCAAAAUGCCGGAAAAUCGCGCUUAGCUACAGAGAAUACUGGGUAUGGCUACAUAUCUUCGCAAAUUUAUUACAAACUUUUCAGAAAUAACAGAUUCUGUUCGAGGCCUUCUUAAAAAAAGUCGUAUUAACCAGGGCCAUGGUUACCACAUCACGAAGUAUCAUUUAAAAAGCUUAAAAAUGCAUUUGGUGGAACUCCAUUGCUAAGAUAUUAUGGUCCGAAUCUGGAUGUGAAGCUCCACGUCGAUGCAAGCAAAUCCAGCGUAGGCGCAGCUUUUUUAAAAAAUCAUCAACCGUCGGAAUUGCCUUCUGAGAUAAGAAAUUUUUGGUGGUGAACGCACUUGGGAUGAUGGGAUUAUUUAUAUCCACUAAGGCAUUAAUAUCUUUUUCUCUACAGAAAGAUAUGUUACGGCUGUAACAUAGAUGGCUAUUUUUUCAGGAAUUUUAAAUAAUUGUUGCGGCUGCAACCAUGUGUUACAGCUGUAACACUUUCGCGGCUGAAUUAUAAUAAAAACGUCACUUUAUUGUCAUAAAAUUCUUUCUAA